CGCCUAACAUGCAGUCGAGCGAGAACCAGAGCUUCGGCUCUGGGGACAGCGGCGAACGGGUGAGCAACACGUGGGUAAUCUGCCCUCGGUACUGGGAUAGCCCGGGGAAACCCGGAUUAAUACCGGAUGGCCCUUUGAGUCCUCGGACUUGAAGGAAAAGGUAGCUUCGGCCUCCGACCGAGGAUGAGCCCGCGGCGGAUUAGCUUGUUGGUGGGGUAACGGCCUACCAAGGCUCCGAUCCGUAGCUGGUCUGAGAGGACGAUCAGCCACACUGGGACUGAGACACGGCCCAGACUCCUACGGGAGGCAGCAGUGGGGAAUCUUGUCCAAUGGGCGAAAGCCUGAGACAGCGACGCCGCGUGCGGGAAGAAGGCCUUCGGGUUGUAAACCGCUUUCAGGAGGGACGAAGCCACUCGGGUUAAUAGCCCAGAGGGUGACGGUACCUCCAGAAGAAGCCCCGGCUAACUACGUGCCAGCAGCCGCGGUAAUACGUAGGGGGCAAGCGUUGUCCGGAUUUAUUGGGCGUAAAGAGCGUGUAGGCGGCUAGAUAGGUCCGUUGUGAAAACUCGAGGCUCAACCUCGAGACGUCGAUGGAAACCAUCUGGCUAGAGUCCGGAAGAGGAGAGUGGAAUUCCUGGUGUAGCGGUGAAAUGCGCAGAUAUCAGGAAGAACACCCGUGGCGAAGGCGGCUCUCUGGGACGUGACUGACGCUGAAACGCGAAAAGCGUGGGGAGCGAACAGGAUUAGAUACCCUGGUAGUCCACGCUGUAAACGAUGGGUGCUAGGUGUGGGGGGUGUCNACUCCCCCCGUGCCCAAACUAACCCAUUAACACCCCCCUGGGGAAUACGGCCCAAGGUAA
rnacentral:rRNA from 1 species